rnacentral:rRNA from 1 species
UACAGAGGGUGCAAGCGUUGUUCGGAAUUAUUGGGCGUAAAGGGCGCGUAGGCGGUGCGGUAAGUCUGUAGUGAAAUCUCUGGGCUCAACUCAGAGUCUGCUGCAGAAACUGCCGUGCUUGAGUGUGGGAGAGGUGAGUGGAAUUCCCGGUGUAGCGGUGAAAUGCGUAGAUAUGGGGAGGAACACCGGUGGCGAAGGCGGCCACCUGGACGGUCACUGACGCUGAGACGCGAAAGCGUGGGGAGCAAACAGG